rnacentral:rRNA from 1 species
ACGGAGGAUGCAAGCGUUAUCCGGAAUUAUUGGGCGUAAAGCGUACGUAGGCUGUUAGAUAAGUCUGUUGUCAAAGCGCGAGGCUCAACCUUGUAAAGGCAAUGGAAACUGUUUGACUAGAGAGAGAUAGGGGCAGGAGGAAUUCCAGGUGUAGCGGUGAAAUGCGUAGAUAUCUGGAAGAACACCAGUGGCGAAAGCGUCCUGCUGGAUCUCAACUGACGCUGAAGUACGAAAGCUAGGGGAGCGAAUGGG